AACGGAGCUUAUAUUUCAGAAGUUUUCGGAUGGACGAGAGAUAAGUUUAGUGGCGGACGGGUGAGUAACACGUGAGCAACCUGCCUUUCAGAGGGGGAUAACAGUUGGAAACGACUGCUAAUACCGCAUAACGCUGCGAUGGGGCAUCCCGAUGCAGCCAAAGGAGCAAUCCGCUGGAAGAUGGGCUCGCGGCCGAUUAGCUAGUUGGCGGGGCAACGGCCCACCAAGGCGACGAUCGGUAGCCGGACUGAGAGGUUGAUCGGCCACAUUGGGACUGAGACACGGCCCAGACUCCUACGGGAGGCAGCAGUGGGGGAUAUUGCACAAUGGAGGAAACUCUGAUGCAGCGACGCCGCGUGAGGGAAGACGGUCUUCGGAUUGUAAACCUCUGUCUUUGGGGAAGAAAAUGACGGUACCCAAAGAGGAAGCUCCGGCUAACUACGUGCCAGCAGCCGCGGUAAUACGUAGGGAGCGAGCGUUGUCCGGAAUUACUGGGUGUA
rnacentral:rRNA from 1 species